rnacentral:rRNA from 1 species
UACAGAGGUCUCAAGCGUUGUUCGGAUUCAUUGGGCGUAAAGGGUGUGUAGGUGGCGCGCUAAGUCGGGUGUGAAAUUUCGGAGCUUAACUCCGAAACUGCAUUCGAUACUGGCGUGCUUGAGGACUGGAGAGGAGACUGGAAUUCAUGGUGUAGCAGUGAAAUGCGUAGAGAUCAUGAGGAAGACCAGUGGCGAAGGCGGGUCUCUGGACAGUUCCUGACACUGAGACACGAAGGCCAGGGGAGCAACCGGG